rnacentral:tRNA from 1 species
GGCCUCGGUAGCUCAGCGGGUAGAGCGGGAGCCUUGUAAGCUCCAGGUCGUGGGUUCAAAUCCCACCCGAGGCUU